rnacentral:SRP_RNA from 1 species
GCCAGGCAUGGUGGCUCAUGCCUGUAAUCCCAGGUACUCAGGAGGCUGAGGCAGGAGAAUCACUUGAACUCGGGAGCUGGAGGUUGCAGUGAGCCGAGAUCAAGCCACUGCAUUCCAGCCUGGGCAACAGAGUGAGACUCUGUCUCAA